rnacentral:ncRNA from 1 species
UUGUGACAACGGCAAACUGCAUGAAAAUGCAGGACGCAAAGUUUCCGGUCUAAGGGUAAUGCAUUGUUAUUCAAUCCUUUACCUAUGACAGCGGGACUGCCUCA